rnacentral:lncRNA from 7 species
GCUACUUUUGGGGUGGGCUUUAUUUGGGGGGGGGGACGCCAUAAUUUGUGCCCCCCCCCCCCACUUUCAGUUGCUGAUGGCGGCGGCUUUUGGGGACCCCCCCCUAUUUGAGUGCUUCGUGGCUGAGCCCCCCCCGGGGGAAAAGGCGCCCCCCGAUGGCCGGAAGUUGGGCCGCCGUCUGAUGGAGGAGGCAGCCAAGGCCGCCUGGGCUCGGGGCUGCCGGGAGCUGCGGAUGCACGUGGGGGGCCCGGGGGGGCUCUUGGGGGGCGUUGGAGGCUUUGGGGGGGCGGCUUUGCCGGGGGGGGGCGCUUCGGGUGGAGGCUGUUUGAAUUUCGACGAGGGGGGGACGCGGCGCCUGGCGGGGGUCGUCGACCCCCCCCCCAAAUAAAGGCUGCGUUGGCUGUGAAUGGAUGGUUUUGGGGGGGGGGAUAUUUGGGGGGGGGGUUCCGUGCGGUCUUUGGGGGGGGGUCGUAAAUGGGGGGGGUCGUAAAUGGGGGGGGGGGGGGGUUCGAGAGAUGGGGGCA